rnacentral:lncRNA from 1 species
UUCAUGGCCAAACAGUCAUCGUGCCUCAACUAAACUUUCGUACAUAUUCCAAAAUAAAGAUUAUACUUGUUUUACUUGGAGCAAGAUAGAAACAAAGAGAACAUUUCAAAAUAAAUAAAGCAGGCCACAAAGCCAUUGUCAUCAAAAUUAAAAUUGUUUCUACGGUAAAGCAAUAACUAAGUUUGUCUCAAAAAUCCAAAGCAAAGAUAAAAUCUGAUUCAAACAUAACAUUACUGCAACUUUAUUAGUAACGCCCGAUUCCCCACACUCGGACAACACCAUCGGUAUAUCCACUAAACAAGGUGCUUCCAUCUGCACUCCAGUUCAAACUAGUACAGUAGAUAACCUGAAAUACCAUAAAAUACACCAAAUAAAUGGAUGAGUUGCAAACAGUUACAUUUGUAAUUUGUAAGGUGCAAAAAUUAAUUCAAACCAAUAAGAAAGUUUUGCAACACAGUAUAGCACACUUUGGAAAUGAAUUGGAUUAAUCAAAAAUAUGUUUAUAUGAAUAACAGGAUGGUGGCCUAGCAAGUAAAUGGAUGACUUGGAAACAUUAAAUUGAAACCAUGAAUGAUAAAUAUAAUCAUGGAGACAGACCUAAAAAAAUCUGGGAUUAACCUCAGAAAAUGACAUAAUGCAAGAAAGGCGUUUGAUCCUACACAAUUAUUUGAUGUAUAAGAUCAUAUGCUAGAACAUUAACUUGAAGUUGAUUUCAAAAAUGAGAUGGUUUUUGCUAUUUGAUUAACUAAUGAAAGUAAUUCAAAUGGAUUAAUCUCACAAAAUGACAUGAAUGUAAAGGAAGGUAUUUGCUAUUUUACUAACAAGUGCGCCAAGGUCAUUGUUUAAGGAACCCACAAAAAGACAUUAUGUCUUGAAAAUACAUGUCAAAAACUUUCUACAUUUAGAUGCUUAAACAAUGCCCUUAGGGCACUUGUUAUCAUUUUCCUUUUACUAAUCAAGCCAAUGAUCAGAGUUAACCAAGGAAAAUCAAACAGAAAGAAAAUAUUUAUUUCAAUGUCACCCACAUAAAAUUCAACACAAACAUUAGCACAAAUCACUCUAUUCAAUGGUUAACAACGUUACUUGUCAGUUAAACCAACAAAAUUGAACAGAAACCAUUUAGUUAAACACAAAAUUCUUCAGCUCAAUACAAGAAUAAACCAUUAUAACAUCAAAACAAAGCACAUAUUUCAGUAAGCAUAAGAGUUAAACAAAACCACAAAUAAUAAACAAAGAGUGUAAUAUGAUUGUAAAUAAUUUCUAAUUCCUAACUACCAAUCAACAACAAAAACAACAAUGUAUCAACAGCAAAGGAAUUAUAAGUGAAUUAAGAAAAUUAUACCUUCUUCUUGGUGGUGGUGUCACCACCAAUAGCUGCAUCAGCUUCAGUCUUAAGGUCAACCUUCAAAUCCUCAACAAUGCUCUUGCUCUCCAAAUCCCAGAUCUUAAUGCUAGACUCAGUAGCAGCACAUAGCCAGUACCUGUUAGGACUGAAACACAAAGCAUGAAUAAUAGAACCAGCAUCAAGAGAGUAAAGUCUCUUUCCCUCAGCCAAAUCCCACAGCAAAAUAACACCAUCUUUCCCUCCAGAAGCACAGAGAGAACCAUCUGGUGAAACAGCAACAGUGUUGACAUAUCCAGAAUGUCCAGCAAGUGUGUUCCUCAGCUUACAGUUGGUCAGAUUCCAAACCUUAACAGUCCUGUCCCACGACGCCGAGACAAUUGUUGGCUGAAGAGUGCUAGGGCUGAAUCUGACACAGCUAACCCAAUCAGAAUGAGCAUCACCAUCUUGGAUAGUGUACUUGCACUCACCAAGAGUGUUCCAGAGCUUAAUCGUGCGGUCCCGAGAAGCGGACACGAUCUGACGGUUAUCAAUGGAGAAAGCGACGGAGAGAACGUCUUUGGUGUGACCAACAAAUCGGCGAGCGGAGGUUCCGGCGUUGAGAUCCCAGAGACGAAGCUCACCAUCCCAUGAACCAGAGAGAGCAAACUGCCCAUCAGAUGAUAGAACUACAUCCUGAACGAAGUGAGAGUGACCGGUGAGACGGCGGCGGGGGACACCGUAGGUCUUGUCCUCCUUGGUAAGAUGCCAGAGGAUAAUGGAUUUGUCACGGGAGGCAGUGACGAUCAUGUCGGAGUUGUCAAUUGGGGUGGCUAUGGCAGUAACCACAUCGGUGUGAGCACGCAUGGUGCCGCGAAGAACAAGACCCUCAGCCAUGAUUGGUGGUUUCUGUGGAAUUGAGUUGCAGUUACAGCUAGGGUUUGUGUGAG